AAAGGAAUAGACGGGGACCCGCACAAGCGGUGGAGUAUGUGGUUUAAUUCGAUGCAACGCGAAGAACCUUACCUGGUCUUGACAUAUAUUUAAAAAGCUUAGAGAUAAGUAAUAGUUAUAGAUAUACAGGUGGUGCAUGGUUGUCGUCAGCUCGUGUCGUGAGAUGUUGGGUUAAGUCCCGCAACGAGCGCAACCCCUAUCUUUAGUUACCAUCAUUAAGUUGGGGACUCUAGAGAGACUGCCGGUGAUAAACCGGAGGAAGGUGGGGAUGACGUCAAAUCAUCAUGCCCCUUAUGAUCAGGGCUACACACGUACUACAAUGGCGUAUACAAAGGGAUGCAAAACAGCAAUGUCUAGCGAACCCCAUAAAGUACGUCUCAGUUCGGAUUGGAGUCUGCAACUCGACUCCAUGAAGUAGGAAUCGCUAGUAAUCGUGGAUCAGAAUGCCACGGUGAAUACGUUCUCGGGUCUUGUACACACCGCCCGU
rnacentral:rRNA from 1 species